rnacentral:tRNA from 1 species
CAGGGAGACAACAAAAUGUUUAAUAUUAUUAUUUUGUCACCUUAGGUCGAUCGGUAUCUCACAUUCUUAAUUUAUUAAGGAUUUUAUUUCCUAAGUUUUUUCUAGGUCACACCCAUUACUUUUCCUGGGCCAUUAGCUCAGGUGGUUAGAGCGCACCCCUGAUAAGGGUGAGGUCCCUGGUUCAAGUCCAGGAUGGCCCAUAUCUCUAUGUUGGGGGUAUAGCUCAGUUGGUAGAGCGCCUGCUUUGCAAGCAGGAUGUCAGCGGUUCGAGUCCGCUUACCUCCACUGAUUACCACCUCUUGCAUAAUUAUUAAGGGAAUGUUUUGAGUAGUGAUCAAAUUCUGAACGAAUCUAGCUUCCUAAUGAAUUCAUUAAGAUGCUGGACUCAUUGAAUUAUUUUCAUUGUUUUCAGAGAACCUUGACAACUGCAUAGAUUAUUUUUAAAGACAAUAAGCAUCUUUAAUGAUGCAGAUUUAUUAUUUGUGCGAAUGCAUUAAUAACAAUUCUAUUAAGCUGAUGCUUCAAUUAUGAAGUUAUU